AUACGGAAGGUCCGGGCGUUAUCCGGAUUUAUUGGGUUUAAAGGGAGCGCAGGCGGAGAUGCAAGCGUGACGUCAAAUUUCGGGGCUCAACCCCGUCUCGCGUCGCGAACUGCGUCCCUUGGUUGCGGGAAGGGGAGGCGGAACUCGUGGUGUAGCGGUGAAAUGCAUAGAUAUCACGAAGAACUCCGAUCGCGAAGGCAGCCUUCCGGCCCGUCAACGACGCUCAGGCUCGAAGGUGCGGGUAUCAAACAGGAUUAGAUACCCUGUUAGUCCGCACAGUAAACGAUGGACACCCGCGGUUUGGCCUAUAUGGCUGAGCCGCCAAGCGAAAGCGUUAAGUGUCCCACCUGGGGAGUACGCCGGCAACGGUGAAACUCAAAGGAAUUGGCGGGG
rnacentral:rRNA from 1 species